GUGAAGAUCUUUGCCCCCAAUAUUGAGCAAAGGGAUGUAGUCAAUCAUCUAAAAGGAAGUCCAACAGAAGAGAAAAGAAAUGUGUUAGUUGAAAGUGCCAGAUUGGCAAGAGGAAACAUUCAGGAUUUGGCUGAACUGAAAGCUAGUGAAUUCGAUGCAGUCAUUUUCCCUGGUGGCUUUGGUGUAGCAAAGAACCUGUGUUCCUGGGCUGUAGAUGGCAAGAACUGUACUGUCAAUGAGCACGUAAGCUCCACACUCCAAGCUUUCCACACUUCCAAAAAGCCCAUUGGUUUGUGCUGUAUAUCACCAGUCCUGGCAGCUAAAGUCUUUCCUGGUUGUGAGGUAACAGUCGGCCAAGAUAAAAACGUAGAUGGAAGAUAUCCUGAUGCUGAAACGGCAUCUGCUAUAGCAGAGCUUGGAUGUAAGCACAUUUGCAAAAAUGUAAAUGAAUCUCACGUGGAUAAAGCCAAUAAAAUAGUUACUACCUGUGCUUUCAUGUGCAAGGCUCCUCUGCAUGAAAUCUUUGAUGGAAUUGGAACAAUGGUACAAGAAGUCCUGAAACUUGCCUGACUGGAAGCGUACAGAAUUCUGCAAGGAAAUUUAGCUAAGCAUAAGCAUUUAGCUUCCUUUGAUUGUAUUAAUAAAAUAAUGCAACUAUUAAACUUCA